rnacentral:lncRNA from 1 species
ACGAUAUUUUUUUUGUAUGCAUGUAUAUACAUUUUUAGUUUUUACAUUUUUUGGUAUAUAAUAGGUAAUUGGACAAGUACUGGUGUAAGACAUUGUGUAGUCUAAAUAAUGAGAGGACCAGUAUUCAAAAAAUGGUUGUUCUUCAUUUCUUUACGCCGACUCCUAUGAUGAACAUGUACGUAAAAAAACUAGGGAAACUACGAUUAUAUAUAGAAACUAAAGUAGGUGAAAUUUUUAUGGGGCGCCAUAGAAGGUGAGGAUAUAAGAGUGAGAGAUUGAAAUUGAGUAGGAGAAAGGCAACCCUACACGCGUUUCGACCUAACAGUCUUCUUCAGCAGGGUUUUUUAAAGGGGGGGGGGGGGUAUAUAGAAUUUGCAGAGGAGAAAGGAGAGUUUAGGAGUUCGGAACAUAAUGUGAACUUGGAUCCUCUACGUAGCAAAAUCCACACCAGAACUAGCUAUAGCUAUCUAUUGGUCAUAUCGUAUCAUUCAUUUACUAAUCUCUGUUUUGGUUUUUGUUAUAUAUGUACAUGUUUUAGUUAUUGUAUAUUCAUAUAUUUUAAACAAAAAUCAAACCCUGCACGGUGUUAUAAUUAUUUUUAUCCCUUAUGUAUCACUAAUUGCCAAACGCCCCUAUCCCUGUCUUAUAAGCUCCUACACCACUAACACCAUAUUUGGAUGCAAUCACCUACAGUCACAUGAUCACCCUUACCAUCACAAUCAUUCAAACUCACUAUACCAUUGAGUAAGUUAACCUGCAAAUUUGCUUCACUUCACCAAUACGAACGAUGAACAAUAAAGUGCGUAGUGUUGGAAUGUCCCGCAAACAACAAGACCUUUGGUCGGAUAACUUGACUAAUAACAUGUAUAAUAUUAGUUUAUUGUACGAUCAUCCAGAUUAAAAUUGUUUUAUUAUUUCUGACGUUUCGGCUACC